UACGUAGGGGGCUAGCGUUGUCCGGAAUCAUUGGGCGUAAAGCGCGUGUAGGCGGUCCGGUAAGUCCGCUGUGAAAGUCGAGGGCUCAACCUCGAAUGCCGGUGGAUACUGUCGGGCUUGAGUACGGGAGAGGCGAGUGGAAUUCCUGGUGUAGCGGUGAAAUGCGCAGAUAUCAGGAGGAACACCGAUUGCGAAGGCAGCUCGCUGGGACGGUACUGACGCUGAGGCGCGAAAGCGUGGGGAGCGAACAGG
rnacentral:rRNA from 1 species